CCUACGGGUGGCUGCAGUGGGGAAUAUUGGACAAUGGGCGAAAGCCUGAUCCAGCCAUGCCGCGUGAGUGAAGAAGGCCUUCGGGUUGUAAAGCACUUUCAGUGGGGAAGAAAGCCUUGGGGCUAAUACCCUCGAGGAAGGACAUCACCCACAGAAGAAGCACCGGCUAACUCCGUGCCAGCAGCCGCGGUAAUACGGAGGGUGCGAGCGUUAAUCGGAAUUACUGGGCGUAAAGCGCGCGUAGGCGGUCUGAUAAGCCGGUUGUGAAAGCCCCGGGCUCAACCUGGGAACGGCAUCCGGAACUGUCAGGCUAGAGUGCAGGAGAGGAAGGUAGAAUUCCCGGUGUAGCGGUGAAAUGCGUAGAGAUCGGGAGGAAUACCAGUGGCGAAGGCGGCCUUCUGGACUGACACUGACGCUGAGGUGCGAAAGCGUGGGUAGCAAACAGGAUUAGAUACCCCGGUAGUC
rnacentral:rRNA from 1 species